rnacentral:rRNA from 1 species
GGACCUUCGAGAUCACUCCAACCCAUGUGACGUUACCAAACUGUUGCCUCGGCGGGAUCUCUGCCCCGGGUGCGUCGCAGCCCCGGACCAAGGCGCCCGCCGGAGGACCAACCAAAACUCUUUUUGUAUACCCCCUCGCGGGUUUUUUAUAAUCUGAGCCUUCUCGGCGCCUCUCGUAGGCGUUUCGAAAAUGAAUCAAAACUUUCAACAACGGAUCUCUUGGUUCUGGCAUCGAUGAAGAACGCAGCGAAAUGCGAUAAGUAAUGUGAAUUGCAGAAUUCAGUGAAUCAUCGAAUCUUUGAACGCACAUUGCGCCCGCCAGUAUUCUGGCGGGCAUGCCUGUCCGAGCGUCAUUUCAACCCUCGAACCCCUCCGGGGGGUCGGCGUUGGGGAUCGGCCCUGCCUCUUGGCGGUGGCCGUCUCCGAAAUACAGUGGCGGUCUCGCCGCAGCCUCUCCUGCGCAGUAGUUUGCACACUCGCAUCGGGAGCGCGGCGCGUCCACAGCCGUUAAACACCCAACUUCUGAAAUGUUGACCUCGGAUCAGGUAGGAAUACCCGCUGAACUUAAGCAUAUCAAUAAGCGGAGGAACAUAUCAAUAAGCGGAGGAGCUUAUCAAUAAGGCGGAGGAGACUUUCAAAAGGGGGAGGGAGUGUUCGGAAAACGAAUGAGAAUUUUUUA